CACUCCCUCCAACUCUUUCUCUUAUUUUAUAUUUUAAUUGCAUAUUUAAUUUAAGCUUAUGUUUUCAUUUUUACAAUAUGUUUAAUGAUGCUAGUCCUGUAGCUUCUGGUAAUACUAGUAAUAAUGAUCACCCGACUUCUAAUCGUAAAAGAAUAAGUCGGGUAUGGAAUUUUUUUGAAAUAAUAGAAGGUACUAAUAGUGUUAAGUGCAAAUUUUGUAACGAAACUUUU
rnacentral:lncRNA from 1 species